GAUGAACGCUGGCGGCGUGCCUAAUACAUGCAAGUCGAGCGGACAGACGAGGAGCUUGCUCCUCUGACGUUAGCGGCGGACGGGUGAGUAACACGUGGAUAACCUACCUAUAAGACUGGGAUAACUUCGGGAAACCGGAGCUAAUACCGGAUAAUAUAUUGAACCGCAUGGUUCAAUAGUGAAAGACGGUUUUGCUGUCACUUAUAGAUGGAUCCGCGCCGCAUUAGCUAGUUGGUAAGGUAACGGCUUACCAAGGCAACGAUGCGUAGCCGACCUGAGAGGGUGAUCGGCCACACUGGAACUGAGACACGGUCCAGACUCCUGCGGGAGGCAGCAGUAGGGAAUCUUCCGCAAUGGGCGAAAGCCUGACGGAGCAACGCCGCGUGAGUGAUGAAGGUCUUCGGAUCGUAAAGCUCUGUUAUUAGGGAAGAACAAAUGUGUAAGUAACUAUGCACGUCUUGACGGUACCUAAUCAGAAAGCCACGGCUAACUACGUG
rnacentral:rRNA from 1 species